rnacentral:tRNA from 1 species
UGGAGACCAAACAAUUGCGGGUUAGAUCUCUGGUAGAGAUCGCUAGUCUCAUAAGCUAGAAAGAGGUAGGUUCGAUU